rnacentral:rRNA from 1 species
AGAGUUUGAUCCUGGCUCAGGAUGAACGCUGGCGGCGUGCUUAACACAUGCAAGUCGAACGAACCUUCGGGUUAGUGGCGGACGGGUGAGUAACGCGUGGGAACCUGCCCUCAGGAGGGGGAUAACGGUUGGAAACGGCCGCUAAUACCCCAUAUGCCGAGAGGUGAAACGAAUUUCGCCUGAGGAUGGGCCCGCGUCUGAUUAGCUAGUUGGUGGGGUAAGAGCCUACCAAGGCGACGAUCAGUAGCUGGUCUGAGAGGAUGAUCAGCCACACUGGGACUGAGACACGGCCCAGACUCCUACGGGAGGCAGCAGUGGGGAAUUUUCCGCAAUGGGCGAAAGCCUGACGGAGCAACGCCGCGUGAGGGAUGAAGGCCUCUGGGCUGUAAACCUCUUUUCUCAAGGAAGAAGACCUGACGGUACUUGAGGAAUAAGCCACGGCUAAUUCCGUGCCAGCAGCCGCGGUAAUACGGGAGUGGCAAGCGUUAUCCGGAAUUAUUGGGCGUAAAGCGUCCGCAGGUGGCCCUGUAAGUCUGUCGUUAAAGCGUGGAGCUUAACUCCAUUUAAGCGAUGGAAACUACAGGGCUAGAGUGUGGUAGGGGCAGAGGGAAUUCCCGGUGUAGCGUUGAAAUGCGUAGAUAUCGGGAAGAACACCAGUGGCGAAGGCGCUCUGCUGGGCCGUCACUGACACUCAUGGACGAAAGCCAGGGGAGCGAAAGGGAUUAGAUACCCCUGUAGUCCUGGCCGUAAACGAUGAACACUAGGUGUCGGGGGAAUCGACCCCCUCGGUGUCGUAGCCAACGCGUUAAGUGUUCCGCCUGGGGAGUACGCACGCAAGUGUGAAACUCAAAGGAAUUGACGGGGGCCCGCACAAGCGGUGGAGUAUGUGGUUUAAUUCGAUGCAACGCGAAGAACCUUACCAGGGUUUGACAUCCUGCGAAUCCCUUGGAAACGAGGGAGUGCCUUCGGGAGCGCAGAGACAGGUGGUGCAUGGCUAUCGUCAGCUCGUGUCGUGAGAUGUUGGGUUAAGUCCCGCAACGAGCGCGACCCACGUCGUUAGUUGCCAGCAUUCAGUUGGGCACUCUAGCGAGACCGCCGGUGAUAAACCGGAGGAAGGUGUGGAUGACGUCAAGUCAUCAUGCCCCUUACAUCCUGGGCUACACACGUACUACAAUGCUACGGACAAAGGGCAGCGAUCCCGCGAGGGCUAGCAAAUCCCAUAAACCGUGGCUCAGUUCAGAUCGUAGGCUGCAACUCGCCUACGUGAAGGAGGAAUCGCUAGUAAUCGCAGGUCAGCAUACUGCGGUGAAUACGUUCCCGGGCCUUGUACACACCGCCCGUCACACCAUGGAAGUUGGCCACGCCCGAAGUCGUUACUCCAACCCUUGUGGAGGAGGACGCCGAAGGUGGGGCUGAUGACUGGGGUGAAGUCGGAACAAGGUAGCCGUACCGGAAGGUGCGGCUG